AUGCGCGAAAAAGCACACGGUGUUUUGACUGGAUGCCAUAGUGUUAAUUUAACGGUACACUAUUUUAGAAGAAUGAACACAUCCGACAUCAGUGGCUGUUUUUUCUCUUCGGGUGGACAGGCUACACCGAAAAUGAGGAUUAUGUAUUUUCCCAGGCAACCACCGGCAGCAGAAAUGCUGUGAUACAAAAUCAGCUUUCCCUUGGGGAUAUGCUGUGAAGCCUGUGAAGACAGACCAAAGGGGGAUAUGCUGUGAAGACAGACACAACAUACUGUAAGUCGUAGUUGUUCAUUUCAAAUCAAUUGAGCAUUUCAGGCACACAACUUCCAAAUACAAACAAUGACAAUUUUCACAAAAAAGUGCACAACCAAAUAUUGCAUAUUUCAAAUUGAGUACUUCAAAAAUAGCUGAAAACUGUGCGUAGAAUGAGUAGAUCCCUACAUCAACGAAUUGAUAACAUCAUAACUCAGAACAGUAAAUAAAAGGAAAUUAUAUUCACUACCCAUUUAACACACAUUUCCCUUUUCAAAAACAUUACAGGCAAUGGGGAUGACUGAAGCAAAAGUGGGUGACUGAAGCCUGCUUGAUUGAAGUGGGGUUUAUGGGUGCCUCUCCCACUCCCCUCCCCAUCAAUCUCUGUAGUUGGUUGCAUUUCCUAAAGUUUAAGUAAUUCAUGUGAUAUCCCAUUUUGUCACUUUUUAUAUGUUUUUGCAUUUGGAUGGGAAAUUAGUUUGACAAAUUGUAUGAAUCAAUGGAGUCCUGCACAGUGUAGGCCGGGCCAGGUGCCUAUAUUAGGCUUACUGCUCUAAUAUAUUUUUUUUAUGUCAUGUUUCACUGUUAUUUCUCAAUAUUUUGACUAUGCUGGCCUAUUUUUAAAUGAUCAAAUACAUGUCUGAUCAACACAUACAAUUCUGAACAUAGUCAUAAUGCCAAUGCAGAGUCACCAAUCAUGGGCCAUGAUGAUGUUAUAUGUCCUCGUCAGAGCUGUCCAAGCACACACGAAGACAGCGUAACAAGACAGAGGUGGAAAAAAACUAAGUAGCUGCAAAGAGCCAAGUUUGUUCAUCAAUCACAUUUUUAUUUGUCACGUGUUAUAAACGAGAACUUCACUCUUCAACUCUCAUCUUAUCCCUUAUCUAUAUCAAUAGACUCGAUUUGUGGAUAAAUCCCAAGCUUGUCCAUGUUUAAAGGCAAAUGUAUUAAUCUAAUGUAAUAUAAGGCAAGUUAAGAAGCAUCUGUAUGAAACAUCUGUAGUCUUUUUUCAUAAAACAAGCGUAAUGUAAAGAGUGAUUUAAAAUGGGCGAUCUGAACUUAAAAUUGGAGAAUGCUCUAGCGUUAUGAUUAGAAAACAUUUUGUAGGAAAACUUCAUGCUUUUCCAUCAUGAUAUAAAACAAGACAAUAUUUUGUCAUUUUGAACGUUGUGAUAAUCUCUGUUUAAACAGUGCAUUGCAUUUUGCCCUAAAAUAUGUUCUGGGUCAAAGAAGAUCAUUUAUUUUCUGAGGAAUGUUAGGUGUGUGGUGGGAAGCUUAACAAUAGUUAUGUUUUAUGAAGAAUUUUGACAGCUUGAAUGUUUUUUUUUGUCUAUGGUCCUCUCUGAGCGCUGUAAGCAAGCUGGAAUCACUAAUAACCAUCUUGAUCCCAAACAUAUAAAACAGUUAGCAGAUAAAAGUUCACAGCAUGCCAUGGCCACUCAUUAUUUGCUGAGGAAGUGGUGGUGUCGUCUAUGAAGACUAUAGACUCUGUUCUGCAGCAGGGUCUCACUCAUUAUUUGCUGAGGAAGUGGUGGUGUCGUCUAUGAAGACUAUAGACUCUGUUCUGCAGCAGGGUCUUCCUGUUCUGUGUUGUUUGGGCCUGUGGUCAGGUUUGUAUUUGAGAAGCAGGCUGAGAGGCAAAGCCAAACAGCACUGUCUAAACAAAAUAGAGGCAAACUAGUCCUUGUGCCGUCCACCCCUUUUGUCACUGUGAAGACACACACACACACACACACACACACACAAGGCAGUUCAGUCUUCAGUGUCAAUGACUACAGCAUAAUGGCCUUUAAGGUAUUGAGUCGAGUCCAAAUUGGCAAAUAUAAAGAGAGGUGACAGAAGCCUGUAAGAUCUUAAAUGUAACUAGACUUGCAGUUAUACAGUGCCCCCUUCUGGACAAAACAAAACAUGAUGAGGGAUGGUGCACUAGAAGAAUCACAAUACUAUUGCAUUUGGUAAAAUCAACAGUACCUCUAUUACUGCUUUCCUUUUCAUAGGAGUUACGGUAUUUAGCCUGUAAUUUUUUGGGGGCAAUGUUUAUAUUACCCCCUUACAAACAGACUCAUUUUUACCACAUUCUCAUCUACAUACACCUUUUAUACCUCCCGUGCACAUGCCGGGAUGCCGGGGACGAGUAGUAGUAGUGGUGGGCGUCUAUUUUAAUAAAUCCAUUGAGAAUAUACACAAUUAAAAAUAAAUCCAUUAUUAUUAAAAUCAACAUAAGACUAACACAAUUUGGAGUUUGCCAAAAGGCACCUAAAGGACUCUCAGACUUUGAGAAACAAGAUUCUCUGGUCUGAUGAAACCAAGAUUGAACUCUGACCUGAAUGCCAAGCAUCACGUCUGGAGGCAAUCUGGCACCAUCCCUACGGUGAAGCAUGGUGGUGGCAGCAUCAUGCUGUGUGAAUGUUUUUCAUAGGCAGGGACUGGAAGACUAGUCAGAAUUGAGGGAAAGAUGAAAGGUACAGAGAGAUCCUUGAUGAAAACCUGCUCAGGACCUCAGACUGGGACUAAGGUUCACAUUCCACCAGGACAACGACCCU
ensembl:lncRNA